AUCCCAUGAUGUGGACAUCUUCUAAGUAGUUCCUUAAAUCUUUCCCAAGUUUCAUACAAUGAUUCACCUUUAACUUGUUUAAAUAAGGUUAUAUUGUUCCUCAUAUU
rnacentral:snoRNA from 1 species